rnacentral:rRNA from 1 species
UCCGUAGGUGAACCUGCGGAGGGAUCAUUACAGAGUUGCAAAACUCCCACAAACCAUCGCGAAUCUUACCCGUACGGUUGCCUCGGCGCUGGCGGUCCGGAAAGGCCCUCGGGCCCUCCCGGAUCCUCGGGUCUCCCGCUCGCGGGAGGCUGCCCGCCGGAGUGCCGAAACUAAACUCUUGAUAUUUUAUGUCUCUCUGAGUAAACUUUUAAAUAAGUCAAAACUUUCAACAACGGAUCUCUUGGUUCUGGCAUCGAUGAAGAACGCAGCGAAAUGCGAUAAGUAAUGUGAAUUGCAGAAUUCAGUGAAUCAUCGAAUCUUUGAACGCACAUUGCGCUCGCCAGUAUUCUGGCGAGCAUGCCUGUUCGAGCGUCAUUUCAACCAUCAAGCUCUGCUUGCGUUGGGGAUCCGCGGCUGUCCGCGGUCCCUCAAAAUCAGUGGCGGGCUCGCUAGUCACACCGAGCGUAGUAACUCUACAUCGCUAUGGUCGUGCGGCGGGUUCUUGCCGUAAAACCCCCCAUUUCUAAGGUUGACCUCGGAUCAGGUAGGAAUACCCGCUGAACUUAAGCAUAUCAAUAAGCGGAGGAA